rnacentral:rRNA from 1 species
AGAGUUUGAUCAUGGCUCAGAACGAACGCUGGCGGCGUGGUUAAGACAUGCAAGUCGAGCGGGAAUCUGCGGGUAGCAAUAUUCGUGGGUUUCAGCGGCGAACGGGUGCGUAACACGUGGGCAACCUACCUGAAAGAGUGGAAUAACCAGUCGAAAGAUUGGCUAAUGCCGCAUGUGAUCCGGAGAGUUCGCUUUCCGGAUUAAAGCUGGGGACCGAAAGGCCUGGCGCUUUUAGAUGGGCCCGCGGCCUAUCAGCUAGUUGGUGAGGUAAUGGCUCACCAAGGCUUACGGGUAGCUGGUCUGAGAGGACGACCAGCCACACGGGAACUGAGACACGGUCCCGACACCUACGGGUGGCAGCAGUUUCGAAUUUUUCGCAAUGGGCGAAAGCCUGACGGAGCGACGCCGCGGGGGGGAUGAAGGUCUUCGGAUUGUAAACCCCUGUCAGCUGGGAACAAGGUCUCGUGGUGAAUAGUCAUGUGAUUUGAUAGUACCGGCAGAGGAAGCCGUGGCUAACUCUGUGCCAGCAGCCGCGGUAAUUCAGAGACGGCAAGCGUUGUUCGGAUUCACUGGGCGUAAAGGGUCCGCAGGUGGCGAGGUAAGUCUGACGUGAAAUCCCGCGGCUUAACCGCGGAACUGCGUCGGAUACUGUCUUGCUAGAGGACGGCAGAGGAGACUGGAAUUCACGGUGUAGCGGUGAAAUGCGUAGAUAUCGUGAGGAACACCGGUGGCGAAGGCGAGUCUCUGGACCGUUCCUGACACUCAGGGACGAAAGCGUGGGGAGCAAACGGGAUUAGAUACCCUGGUAGUCC